CUUUCAGGUAGGGAACAAGGCAUCAUUUUUGUGGUGUUGAGGGUACUUGCAGAAGAAGCACCGGCUAACUACGUGCCAGCAGCCGCGGUAAUACGUAGGGUGCAAGCGUUAUCCGGAAUUAUUGGGCGUAAAGAGCUCGUAGGCGGUUUGUCGCGUCUGUCGUGAAAGUCCGGGGCUCAACUCCGGAUCUGCGGUGGGUACGGGCAGACUAGAGUGAUGUAGGGAGACUGGAAUUCCUGGUGUAGCGGUGGAAUGCGCAGAUAUCAGGAGGAACACCGAUGGCGAAGGCAGGUCUCUGGGCAUUAACUGACGCUGAGGAGCGAAAGCAUGGGGACGCGAACAGGAUUACGACUACCCGUGGUAG
rnacentral:rRNA from 1 species